GUAACAAGCCUGCACAUUGUGCACGUGUACCCUAGAAUUUAAAGUAUAAUAAAAAAAAAAAACAAAGAAAGAAAACUCCUCUAGCUGGGCAUGGUGGCUCACGCCUGUGAUCCCAGCAUUUUGGGAGGCUGCGGUAGAAGGAUCACUUGAGCCCAGGAGUUCAAGACCAGCCUGGGCAACAUAGGGAGACCCCUGUCUCUACAAAAAAUAAAAAAUUAGCUAGGUGUGAUGGCAUGCACCUGCAGUCCCAACUUCUCAGGAGGCUCAGGUGGGAGGAUCACUUGAGCCGAAGAGGUCAAGGCUAGAGUGAGCCAUGAUCAUAUCACUGCAGUCUAGCCUGCAUGACAGAGCAAGACCCUGUCAAAAAAAAAAAAAAAAAAAAGGAAGAAAGAGAGAGAGAGAGAGAGAAAGACAGAAGAAAGAAAGAAAAGAAAGAAAAGGAAAGAAAGAGAAAGAAGGAGGGAGGGAGGGAAGAAGGGAGAGAGGGAAGGAAAGAAGGAAAGAGGAAGGAAGGAAGGAAGGAAAAUUUAAAAUAUUUAUUGUGACAGAAAUAAAAAUUUGAAAUUGAAAAAUAUAAGCACAUUUAAGACAAUCUCCCAGAAAGUAAAAUUUAAGGAUGGAGAAUUUGAAAAGAAGGAAAAGAGAAAGAAGAUCUGUCCAGGAGGCCCAAUAUUUCAAAUAGGAAUUUCAGACAGAGAAAACAGAGUAAAUGAAGAGAGGAAAUUAACAAAAAAAUAAUUUAUGCAAAUACAUCAGAACUGAAAAACGUGAGUCUGCAGGUUGAAGUAGCUCACUGAGUGCUCAGCACAUGUGUGAAAUGAGUCCUACAUCAAGAAAUGUAAUAAUAAAAAGAGAUGAUCAUUAACACCUUUUUAAAAUUGCUUCUUGGCUUUUUGCCUAAGAUCAAGUACAGUGUCUCUUCUUAUCAGUUUAAUAUCUGAUACGUCCUUUGUCUGAGGACAAUAUAUUAAAUGGAUUUUUGGAGCAGGGAGAUGGAAUAGGAGCAUGCUCCAUCCACUCCACACAUAGACCUGGUAUUGCAGUACCUCCAGGAUCUGUGCUCUCUCACCCCACAUGCUAUAAACUAAAAAAAAGAGGCUGGGCGUGGUGGCUUAUGCUUGUAAUCCCAGCACUCUGGGAGGCUGAGGUGGGUUGAUCACUUGAGGUCAGGAGUUUGAGACCAGCCUAACCAACAUGGAGAAACCCAGUCUCUAGUUAAAAUAUAAAAAUUAGCUGGGUGUGAUGGCAUGCCCCUGUAAUCCCAGCUACUCAGGGAGGUUGAGGCAGGAGAAUAGUUUGAACUUGGGAGGCGGAGGUUGCAGUGAGCUGAGAUCAUGCCACUGCACUCCAGCGUGGGUGACAGAAUGAGACUUCGUCUCAAAAGAAAGAAAAGAAAGGAAGGAAGGAAGGAAGGAAGGAAGGAAGAAAAAAAAUUAAAAUAUUAUUAUUUAUUUAUUUUUGCAGUUUAAAACUUAUGCAUUGUUUAUUUCUGGAAUUUUCUUUUAAUAUUUUGGGACCUUAGUUGACCAUGAGUAACACAAACCACAGAAUGCAAAACAGUGG
rnacentral:lncRNA from 1 species